rnacentral:tRNA from 1 species
GGCCAGUUAGCUCAGUCAGCUGAGCGUGGCACUGACAAUGCCAAGGUCGCGGGUUCGAUUCCGAGGGUUCGAUUCCCGUUUGGUCC